AUUGAACGCUGGCGGCAGGCCUAACACAUGCAAGUCGAGCGGAUGAAGGGAGCUUGCUCCUGGAUUCAGCGGCGGACGGGUGAGUAAUGCCUAGGAAUCUGCCUGGUAGUUGGGGAUAACGUCCGGAAACGGGCGCUAAUCCCGCAUACGUCCUGAGGGAGAAAGUGGGGGAUCUUCGGACCUCACGCUAUCAGAUGACCCUAGGUCGGAUUAGCUAGUUGGUGGGGUAAAGGCCUACCAAGGCGACGAUCCGUAACUGGUCUGAGAGGAUGAUCAGUCACACUGGAACUGAGACACGGUCCAGACUCCUACGGGAGGCAGCAGUGGGGAAUAUUGGACAAUGGGCGAAAGCCUGAUCCAGCAAUGCCGCGUGUGUGAAGAAGGUCUUCGGAUUGUAAAGCACUUUAAGUUGGGAGGAAGGACAGUAAGUUAAUACAUUGCUGUUUUGACGUUACCAACAGAAUAAGCACCGGCUAACUUCGUG
rnacentral:rRNA from 1 species